CGUGUCUCAAAGGCAACAAGACUAGCUAAAACAAAAGAAGGAGACAGAACAAACCCCAAAACGCCAAGUGCUCGCCCUCGUCUCCGAAUCACAACUGCAAAAGAAGGCUGGAACUAAUCACCGCUGGUAACUGGUACUGGGACCUGCAUCACGAAAUAGAUGCAGAGCGUAGCAUGAGUACCAACACAACAGGUACUCAGUAGGCAUCAUAGGCCGACUGAGCAAAAAGGGUAAAAACAAUAAGAAAGGAUAGAAUCUAGACACAGAGAGGUCAAGCGGAUAAGAAAAGAAAGCACACGAGCAUACCAGAAACAAACUAAGUACAACUAAACUAAACCUAACUGGACCCCCAUAAGCCCAGAAGGUACACUCGUGCGCAAGUUUAAAUAAAACCUGAACGGACCCCCAUAAGCCCGACAGGUACACAGCAAGGCUAAGUCUACUGAGAAAGAAGAAAAAUUAGGCUACCAGCCCAAAGUAACUAAGAUAAUCCAUCAGACUCCACCCAGCCAGCAGUACACUCCCAGCCCAGCUAGAAAGAGUGACCCUAGGGGGCACCCAACCAAACAGUCCACUCCCAGCCCAGCUAGAAAGAGGGACCCGUGAGUGAGGUAGAUAUCGCGAGUCGUCCUACCAUGCAGUCAUGCUCCCAGCCCAGCUAGAAAGAGCGACCCGGGGACACCCAGCCAGCAGCACACUCCCAGCCCAGCUAGAAAGAGAGGCCCGGGGGCGAUCGCCGAUAUCACCGAGUCUACCCAGCCAGCGAUACGUUCCC
rnacentral:lncRNA from 1 species